UCCCAGAUGCUGGCGCUGGGCGUUGCGCGGCGGCGGGCGGCGGCGGCAGCGCUGGGCUGCGGGCCGCGGCGGGGCCGGGCAGGGGCGGCGGGGCCGGAGCCGGAGCCGGGGGGCCACCGGGCGCUGCGGGAGGCGGACGAGGCGACGCCCGUGUUCCGCUACGUGGGGAAGCGCGCGCGGCGCGUGGACCGCGUCUUCGUCUGGGGCUUCUGCCACGCGGGCGCCCUGGGCGUGCCCAGCUUCGUGCGGCCCGACGCGGCCUGGAAGAGGCCUCGUCGCGUGCAGAAUACGCCCUACCGGCUCGAGACCGCGGACAAGAUCUCGUCAGCAGCCUGCGGCUAUGGCUUCACCUUGCUCUCCUCCAAUACCGCCGACAUCACCAAAGUGUGGGGCAUGGGGCUCAACAAGGACUCGCAGCUCGGCUUCCAGCGGAGCCGGAAGGACCGAACAAAAAGCUACGAGUAUGUCUUGGAGCCAUCUCCUAUUCCAUUGCCGCUGGAGAAGCCCCAGGAGACUCGAGUGUUGCAGGUCUCCUGUGGGAGAGCCCAUUCCCUCGUCCUGACAGACCAUGAAGGAGUCUUCAGCAUGGGAAACAACUCGUAUGGGCAGUGUGGUCGAGAAGUAGUUGAAGGUGAAAUUUAUAGUGAGAGCCAUGUGAUAAAUCGACUGCAGGAGUUUGAUGGAAGAGUUGUGCAGGUUGUUUGUGGUCAGGAUCACAGUCUGUUUAGGACAGAGAAAGGAGAGAUCUAUUCCUGUGGAUGGGGAGCCGAUGGACAAACAGGUCUAGGCCACUACAAUGUUUCCAGUGUUCCCACCAAGCUAGGUGGAGAUGUUGCUGGGGUCAGCAUUAUUCAGGUUGCCUCCUACGCUGAUUGCUGUCUGGCUGUUUCUGAUGAAGGAGACGUCUUCGGCUGGGGAAACUCGGAAUACCUGCAACUAGCGUGCGUUACGGACACAACGCAGGUGAAUGUCCCCAGGCACUUACCAUUCAAGAUUGGGAAGGUAAAGGAGGCUGCGUGCGGAGGGACCGGCAAUGCUGUUCUGAAUGAGGAAGGAAAUGUCUUUGUGUGGGGAUAUGGAAUCCUUGGGAAAGGACCGAACCUUCUGGAAACAGCAGCUCCAGAGAUGAUCCCUCCCACUCUCUUUGGCUCAUCAGAUGUUCGUGUUAAGCACCUUCGCUGUGGACUCAGCCAGUUUGCGGCACUUAAUGAGAGAGGAGAGCUUUUUGUCUGGGGCAAGAAUAUAAGAGGGUGCUUGGGAAUUGGAAGAAUGGAAGACCAGUAUUUUCCCUGGAGGCCUUCCUAGGAUGGAGAUUCCACAGCCUCUGGGGUAUGAGCAGUCAUGUAUCUAUCUAGAUGACCAUGGAGAUGCUGGCAAGAGCCUUGCUAAGGUGACAGUACCUGGGGAGGUGGUGGCUGUGGCAUGUGGAGUGGAUCACAUGGUAACUCUGGUGAAAUCAUGGAUCUAAUGGAACUGGGGCAGAGAGAAUAAAGAUAUUCUAACCCA